rnacentral:rRNA from 1 species
GCGGCGUCUAAUACAUGCAAGUCGAGCGAAUGGAUUAAGAGCUUGCUCUUAUGAAGUUAGCGGCGGACGGGUGAGUAACACGUGGGUAACCUGCCCAUAAGACUGGGAUAACUCCGGGAAACCGGGGCUAAUACCGGAUAACAUUUUGAACCGCAUGGUUCGAAAUUGAAAGGCGGCUUCGGCUGUCACUUAUGGAUGGACCCGCGUCGCAUUAGCUAGUUGGUGAGGUAACGGCUCACCAAGGCAACGAUGCGUAGCCGACCUGAGAGGGUGAUCGGCCACACUGGGACUGAGACACGGCCCAGACUCCUACGGGAGGCAGCAGUAGGGAAUCUUCCGCAAUGGACGAAAGUCUGACGGAGCAACGCCGCGUGAGUGAUGAAGGCUUUCGGGUCGUAAAACUCUGUUGUUAGGGAAGAACAAGUGCUAGUUGAAUAAGCUGGCACCUUGACGGUACCUAACCAGAAAGCCACGGCUAACUACGUGCCAGCAGCCGCGGUAAUACGUAGGUGGCAAGCGUUAUCCGGAAUUAUUGGGCGUAAAGCGCGCGCAGGUGGUUUCUUAAGUCUGAUGUGAAAGCCCACGGCUCAACCGUGGAGGGUCAUUGGAAACUGGGAGACUUGAGUGCAGAAGAGGAAAGUGGAAUUCCAUGUGUAGCGGUGAAAUGCGUAGAGAUAUGGAGGAACACCAGUGGCGAAGGCGACUUUCUGGUCUGUAACUGACACUGAGGCGCGAAAGCGGGACUG